UACGGAGGAUGCGAGCGUUAUCCGGAUUUAUUGGGUUUAAAGGGUGCGUAGGCGGGCUUUUAAGUCAGCGGUAAAAGUUCGGGGCUCAACCCCGUCCGGCCGUUGAAACUGGGGGCCUUGAGUGGGCGAGAAGAAGGCGGAAUGCGUGGUGUAGCGGUGAAAUGCAUAGAUAUCACGCAGAACCCCGAUUGCGAAGGCAGCCUUCCGGCGCCCUACUGACGCUGAGGCACGAAAGUACGGGGAUCGAACAGG
rnacentral:rRNA from 1 species